GUGAGCAUUGUGCCCAGCAGCCACGCUGGCAUGCACUACACGCCCAGAGGACGCCUAGACAGCAACAAUCUCUUUCUUAUCUUUUUUUUUUUUCCUUCAUCUUUUUUUCCUACUUGGCAACAAAUUU